rnacentral:lncRNA from 1 species
UUGAGUACUCUUGUUGCAUAGCUUGGAGCCAAUUUGGAUAAAAAAUGGCAUGCUUCACAUUUGGUUCACAAUGAGUUAGAAGAAGAGUUAGGUUAAUUCUAUGUUGAACUAUGCCAGACUUUGAUCUAGUCUACAUAGGAUGAGUGUUAGUACUGGUUGUAGGCAAAGAAGGAUGGACAAGGGUAUUAGAUUCUGAGUGAUCAACAGAGGCAGUGUUAGAGACAUUAGGGACUGAAAU